rnacentral:rRNA from 1 species
GAUGAACGCUGGCGGCGUGCCUAAUACAUGCAAGUCGAGCGAACGGACGAGAAGCUUGCUUCUCUGAUGUUAGCGGCGGGCGGGUGAGUAACACGUGGAUAACCUACCUAUAAGACUGGGAUAACUUCGGGAAACCGGAGCUAAUACCGGAUGAUAUUUUGAACCGCAUGGUUCAAAAGUGAAAGACGGUCUUGCUGUCACUUAUAGAUGGAUCCGCGCUGCAUUAGCUAGUUGGUAAGGUAACGGCUUACCAAGGCAACGAUGCAUAGCCGACCUGAGAGGGUGAUCGGCCACACUGGAACUGAGACACGGUCCAGACUCCUACGGGAGGCAGCAGUAGGGAAUCUUCCGCAAUGGGCGAAAGCCUGACGGAGCAACGCCGCGUGAGUGAUGAAGGUCUUCGGAUCGUAAAACUCUGUUAUUAGGGAAGAACAUAUGUGUAAGUAACUGUGAACAUCUUGACGGUACCUAAUCAGAAAGCCACGGCUAACUACGUG